CCGCACGUCUAUGUUGCUGUGACCGAGAAAAAUAAUCGACGUUUUUAUCGUAUAAAAUACGAAUGAACUGCUGCGUUUAUAUCUAUACAAGGGCUGUUCGGAGGGCGUCCAAUUCCUUGCCAACAUCCCUUGCGCGAUGUCCCGCAGGCGACGAAGUCACCCCGGCGAUGCUUCCGCCCUUUUUUCGCCUCGGCGUAGUCGAGAGGGACACCUCGAUGCUGGCCAUCUGGAAUAAUGAUCGAUAAAAGGGUCGGCUCGUAUUGUCGGAGGCUUUGAAAGGCUCCAGACGAGGUACAAUUGGAACACGCGACGUCACGUUGGCCAUUCGAAGCAUUCCGUUUCGGAGAAGGAACGAAUUGGGAUUGGGAUCUAGAUUUUUACCUUGAUUUUGAAAAUGAAGAGGUC